rnacentral:rRNA from 1 species
AGUGAACGCUGGCGGUAGGCCUAACACAUGCAAGUCGAACGGCAGCACAGUAAGAGCUUGCUCUUACGGGUGGCGAGUGGCGGACGGGUGAGGAAUACAUCGGAAUCUACUUUUUCGUGGGGGAUGACGUAGGGAAACUUACGCUAAUACCGCAUACGACCUACGGGUGAAAGCAGGGGAUCUUCGGACCUUGCGCGAUUGAAUGAGCCGAUGUCGGAUUAGCUAGUUGGCGGGGUAAAGGCCCACCAAGGCGACGAUCCGUGGCUGGUCUGAGAGGAUGAUCAGCCACACUGGAACUGAGACACGGUCCAGACUCCUACGGGAGGCAGCAGUGGGGAAUAUUGGACAAUGGGCGCAAGCCUGAUCCAGCCAUACCGCGUGGGUGAAGAAGGCCUUCGGGUUGUAAAGCCCUUUUGUUGGGAAAGAAAAGCAGCAGGUUAAUACCCCGCUGUUCUGACGGUACCCAAAGAAUAAGCACCGGCUAACUUCGUG